CGCACGGCGCACGGGUGCGUAACACGUGGGCAAUCUGCCCUUCGGUGGGGAAUAACUCCGCGAAAGCGGAGCUAAUUCCGCAUGACAUUCCGGGAAGUCCGCUUCCCGGACUCAAAGGCCGCAAGGUCGCCGGAGGAGGAGCCCGCGCCCGAUUAGCUAGUUGGCAGGGUAACGGCCUACCAAGGCUUUGAUCGGUAGCCGGUCUGAGAGGAUGGCCGGCCACACUGGAACUGAGACACGGUCCAGACUCCUACGGGAGGCAGCAGUGGGGAAUCUUGCGCAAUGGGCGAAAGCCUGACGCAGCGACGCCGCGUGGGGGAUGAAGCUUUUCGGAGUGUAAACCCCUUUCGACCCGGACGAAUGGCCCGCAAGGGACGUGACGGUACGGGUAUAAGAAGCCCCGGCUAACUACGUGCCAGCAGCCGCGGUAAGACGUAGGGGGCCAGCGUUGCUCGGAAUUACUGGGCGUAAAGGGUUCGUAGGCGGUGCGGCAAGUCGGGAGUGAAAUUUCUGGGCUUAACCCAGAGACUGCUUCCGA
rnacentral:rRNA from 1 species